UUGAAAAUGAGUUUUCAGAAAAUGAAUUUCUAGAAGGAUGGGGCUCAAACAAGGGCUUAAUAUCAAACUACCCUUUUGCAAGAACUCCCCAUUUGGAAAACACCAUAGACUGUAUUUCAAUUCUAGAAAACAUAAAACCACUUCUCUACUAAAAUAUGUUCACUCUGAUCUAUGGGAUCCUGCCUUCACAACCACUCAAGGUGGGAACAAGUAUUUCCUUUCAAUAAUUGAUGAUUUUUCAAGAAAAAUGUGGGUUUUUCUUUUAAAACAUAAAUCUGAAACCUUUGAAAAAUUCAAAAUUUGGAAGGACGUAAUUGAAAAUUAGACGUUAGUAAAGAUUAAAGUCCUAAGAACAAAUAAUGGAUUAGAAUUUUGUAAUUCUAAAUUUGAUAAAUUCUGUGAACAAAAUGGAAUUUUGAGACACAAGACUAUCCCAUACACCAAUAAAAUGGGGUUGCUAAGAGAAUGAAUAGGACCUUACUUGAUAAUGUUAGCUGCAUGUUUCUGUUCACUAUAUUCCCAUUCAAACUAAAACAAAAAACUAAUGUGUUCAAGAAGAAAAUCAAAUUGAGACUAACAAUCCCGGCCAAGAAAACGAACUGAGUGACUAUCAAUUGGCUAGGGAUAGGCCUAGAAGGAACAUUAGAGAACCUGUUAGAUAUAAUGAUUGUCUAUCCUUCUCUGUCCUGUCAUACCAAGAUCUUGCUCAUAAAAGCCUAAGACCUAUAAUGAAACUGUGAGUUGUAAUCAAUCUAACAUGUGGGAGUCUGCCAUGAGGGAAGUGAUAAGUUCUUUAAUGAAAAAUAAAACUUGGGUUCCUAUUCGAAGACCCAAAGAUAAAUCCAUUAUUGACUGUAAAUGGAUUUACAACUUUAAAGAAGGCAGUUCUAAUAAUGAGUCUUUAAGAUUUAAGGUCAGACUUGUAGCUAAGGGGUUUACACAAAAACACGGUGUGGAUUACAAUGAAAAUUUUCACCUAUUGUGAAAAUACUAUUGUUAGAGUCUUACUUGCAUUAGUUGCUCAUCAUAAUUGGGAACUUGAACAAAUGGAUAUAUAAACAGCUUUCUUACAUGGCGAUUUAGAUGAAACCAUUUACAUGUUUCAACCUAAGGGUUUUGUAAAUGAAUCCAAAUCUGACUAUGUGUGUCUACUUUAAAAAUCUUUAUAUGGAUUAAAACAAUGACCUAGACAAUAGUAUAAGAGAUUUGAUAACUUUUUCAUGACUGUUGGUUUUGUAAGAAACUCUUCUAAUCAUUGUAUUUAUUUUAAAAGGAAUUAUAAAUACGUUAUAUCUAUUUGUCUAUUACUAUAUGUUGAUGACAUGCUCCGAAUUGGACUUGAUUUGAAACAGAUAAAUGAUAUAAAAGAAGUUUUUAGAACUGAGUUUAAAAUGUAAAUUUUGGGUCACGCUAAAAGGAUACUUGGGAUGGACAUUGUUAGAAAAAGAUUUAAAUCUAUAUUAAUUUUGAAACAAUCUGUAUACAUUGAGAAGAUCUUAUCUAAGCUUUACAUGCAUGAAUCAAAAUCUAUUUCCUUGCUUUUAGCUAGUCAUUUCAAACUUAAUAAAAAGCAAGGCUCAAUUGAUGAAUCUGAUAUAAUAUAUAUGGAAAAGGUUCCCUAUGCUAAUGCUGUGGGAUCUAUUAUGUAUACUAUGGUCAGUAAUAGACCUGAUGUAGCUCAUGUAAUCAGUACUCUAAAUAGGUUUAUAGCCAAACCUGGUCCUGAACACUUGGAAACUCUUAAGUGGCUUCUUGGAUAUUUGAAAGGCACAUCCCAAUUAGGAUAAGUGUUUGAAAACUGCAAUAAAGUAGCGAUACUAAAAGAUUUUGUUGAUGCUGACUUUGCUGGUGACAGAGACAAUAGAAAAUCCACAUCUGCUUAUAUGUUUAGUUUUUGUGGUACUUGUGUAAGUUGGAAAUCUUAGUUGCAGCUCAUUGUUGCUUUGUCAACAACAGAGGCCGAAUGUGUGGCAGCCACAGAGGUUAUAAAGAAAGCCUUGUGGCUCAAAGGGUUGUCAUUUAAAAUUAAUAUGCUUAUUGUAUCUGUUAUUGUCGAUUCUAAUAAUCAAAGUGGAAUACAUUUAUGUAAGAAUCCUAUUUUUCAUGAAAGAACAAAACAUAUGGAUGUAAAAUUGCAUUUUAUUAGAGAUACUAUCCCUAUCUCUAAUGAAUAUGUCUUUCUUGAAAAAAUUCCAAUACGGUUCAAUCCAUCAGAUAUAGGAACAAAGGUAUUGUCUCUUUCAAAAUUUAAAUCAUGUUUGGCGCUUUUGAACAUUAAUACUAGUUAAAUUUUGGCUUGCAUGUACUACUUGGUGUCAAUUGGAAGACAACAAUUAUGGCUGAAAAUCCAUUGGCAUCAACGUAGAGGUUGUGGGCUGUGAUGCCAAUUUUCCCUUGGGGCAAUGAUGAUAAUGUUAAGGCCCAAAACUGUUUUCUACUAAACACAUGCAAUUGCCCAAUAGCAUGACCUAACCCAAUUCCCCGAGCCCAAUGUACUAAAGUCGUGUUUUAAGGCCUGGCACUUUUACUGUUGCAGCCUCACCCGAUUUCUUCUUUGUUUGAGGAGUCAUUUGGACUGUUAGAUUAGAAUCCAAUCAAUGGUUGGAUGCCAAUGUAUAAAUAUUGUUUUUGCUACCCUAUUCAUCAGUUCUUAGGGUUUGCACUGUGUAUGUAUUUUGUGACUUUUCCUCUCUCUUUUGUGUUCAUCUUUCAAUCUCUGAUUGGAAAUUGGUUCUCUCGGAUUCUUUGUAGUAAUCUUGAUACUUCGUGUACUAAAAAGAGGUGGUGUGAGUUAAUCCGUCCUCGUGGCUUCCUUUAAUCAAUAAAGGGAUGCUUGAGGAUUUGGGUUAGGAUUUUGGUCACAGAGAUGGGUACAAUUCGUUUUGUUCGAAGCCCCAUUGAAAUAUCUUCAUUCUUGAUGCCUUGGAUGUAUCUUGAGACUGAUAAAGAAACUCUUGUAUUUUUUAAAGUUUCUGUAAUUUUUCUUAAGUUCAAUGAAUGUUUCAGUCCAAUACUUUGUAUAACAUAGCCAGAUGAAAAAUGCUUGAGUAUGGUAAGGUCCUUACCUUGGUCCAGUGGAUUGAACAUGUAUUUCGUGCAAGAGAUGGGCUUCCGAGGAUUUACUCGAGCCCGAGAGGGUGAUGAUAUAGGCGGCAAUUCUGCUGGCAAUUGUGUUGAUUUGAUUCUGAGAGGACUUUUAAUCACUGCUUUGAAUUUUUUUUGCUCUUCCAUGCAUAGGUUCUUGUUUGAUGACAGGCAAGAGGAGCAAAGACCAGAAUAAGCACAAAAACAACAUACUCAAUCCUAGUAAAAAAACACGAUUUUUGACAGCAGCUGGAAGCCAGGCUAUUAGCAAAUAAGGGAUUGGCAUCAUUUCCAUGAAGAGCAUGGUAAAACUGUCAUAAUUGCACAACUUAAACCAACAAAACCUUUUGAAAGACCACUCUUGCGGAAAUUCUUAACGCAAGUAAUCAAAGUCUGUGUUUGCAAAAGCCCAUGACUGGCUCCAAUCCAUAUGUGCAAGCACAUUUUCCGUGCAGGGGGUUCUGCAGCCCGACCAAUCACAACUAACCAUAUCAUGAAGUAGUCGAAGAAGUUUCAUUAACAAGCCCAGAUAUGAUUCCGAGGUUCCCUCCCAAGUCCUUGAAGCUCACUAAGUUAAGCGAUGUCUGAAAAAAUCCUAACGAAGACUUGAUGUCAUUAAGAGUAUACACCAACUAAGUAUGUUGCACCAUUUACGCACAUUAUUAGGAUCGAAGCAAAGAUUGGGAACCAUCAACUGGACAGCAUGCGGAAUCUAAAGCCCACUGUCCGUCUCCAAAAAUCAUCACCACCACUGAGAUUAGCCAUUGUCGAAUUUCUAGUUAUUUUAAUCCUUUCGGUACAUUUAACAAUGUAAGUAAACGACGUGACGUUAGUUAUUUGUAUAUUGAUAGGAAUGAGUCAAUUUAUUAACGCUUCAUCUAUUCAUAAUAGAAAUGAGAUUAUACA